rnacentral:rRNA from 1 species
UACGAAGGGGGCUAGCGUUGCUCGGAAUCACUGGGCGUAAAGCGCACGUAGGCGGAUUGUUAAGUCGGGGGUGAAAUCCUGGAGCUCAACUCCAGAACUGCCUUCGAUACUGGCGAUCUUGAGUCCGGGAGAGGUGAGUGGAACUCCGAGUGUAGAGGUGAAAUUCGUAGAUAUUCGGAAGAACACCAGUGGCGAAGGCGGCUCACUGGCCCGGUACUGACGCUGAGGUGCGAAAGCGUGGGGAGCGAACUGG